GCCAGACUCCUACGGGAGGCAGCAGUGGGGGAUAUUGCACAAUGGGGGGAACCCUGAUGCAGCGACGCCGCGUGGGUGAAGGAGCGUUUCGGCGCGUAAAGCCCUCUCGGCAGGGAAGAAGGAGGACGGUACCUGACUAAGAAGCCCCGGCUAACUACGUGCCAGCAGCCGCGGUAAUACGUAGGGGGCAAGCGUUAUCCGGAUUUACUGGGUGUAAAGGGGGCGCAGACGGCAGCGCAAGCCAGGAGUGAAAGCCCGGGGCCCAACCCCGGGACUGCUCUUGGAACUGCGCGGCUGGAGUGCAGGAGGGGCAGGCGGAAUUCCUGGUGUAGCGGUGAAAUGCGUAGAUAUCAGGAGGAACACCGGUGGCGAAGGCGGCCUGCUGGACUGCGACUGACGUUGAGGCCCGAAAGCGUGGGGAGCAAACAGGAUUAGAUACCCGCGUACC
rnacentral:rRNA from 1 species